AAAUAAUCAAAUGACCUGUAACCCACAGACACACUUCAAAGAAUCUCCUGUGACAUGAGAGCAGAACCAAGAGGCCACAGAGCAUCAGUGAAUUUCCAACCAAGGAAACCAACUAUUAGCCCUCCCAGACAGUAUCAAAGAACUGAAACUGACCAGAUCACCACAUCUGGACAAUGAGACAUGAGACACCCUCAGCCAUCAUGAUUGCCUAACUGACCACCUGCUUCCUGUUGACCAACUCCUCUUCCUCACCUCUUCCUAAUUCCUGUUUUCCCACACAUAGUUACAUUUUCCCCUUCUAUAUAAACCCCUAAUUUUAGUUGAUUGAGGAGAGGAAUAUGAGAUGAGAUUGCUCUCCCAUUUCCU
rnacentral:lncRNA from 10 species